rnacentral:lncRNA from 1 species
CUGAAUUUAAUCCCCAAAACCCUUCCCCUGCAAUCCCAGUUUCUCAUGUUCCCUCUCCUACAGAAAACCAAAUUCCAAUGCAAAGGAGAUCUUGUCCUCCUAGAGAAACCUGUCCUUGUCAAACUGACCCACAGGUACAAAAUUCAACUAGGGGCCUGUUUCCUCUAAGAGAAGUACCUGAAAUAGGACGGAAUGGGGAUGUGGUGACUUUAAGACAUAGGAUACCGUUUACUCCCCAAGAAAUAAAUGAAUUUACAUGAAAUAUCCCCACAUAUGAACAAGAUCCUUUUCUAGUAACAAAAAAGAUGGGAGAUAUAUUUUUUCAGUAUAAUCCUUCUUACAAGGACGUUGAGAACUUACUACAGGCUUUUUUAAGUGAACGUGAAAAAAAUAAAAUAAUUGCUCAUGUCAACAAAACCCGGGGGCGUAAUGCAGCACAUUGGCCAUCUCAGGAUCCCGAAUGGGACUAUAACAAUCCUGAUGAUUAUCUACAACUAUACCGUUGUAGAGAGGCCAUCCUCACGUCCAUGAAGGAAUGUGCAGACAAUACAGAUAAGUGGAUGGAACUGGAAAAAAUUAAGCAAAAGGCCGAAGAAACCCCCUCCAGAUUUAUGGACAGAAUUAUUGAGUUUGGGGACAGAUACUUAGAUUGGGACUUAACUAAAGAGAGUAGUAUAAGACAAGUUAGAAGAAUCUUUGUAAACAAUUCUUGCAAAGCAAUUAAAAAUUAUUUCAAAACACAAUGCCCAAGAUGGUCAGAUACGGACCUUGAAGAAUUGCAAAAAACAGCUAUAUAUGUUUUAAAGGGAAAUGAAGAAAAGGAGAUAGAAAAUAAUGAUGACAUGGAGGAAAUGAAGAAAAAAAUGAAAUAUUUAAUAGAUAGGAUAACUAAAUUAGAAAGUGGGCAUGAUAAUGAACCAACGACAAUUGCCCCUCUCCAGAAAUCCAAUUAUCAAUCCAUUACUUGCCACUUCUGUGAGAAGAAGGGCCACAAAAUGAUGGAAUGUAGAACCUUUCUUAAGAUGUUUGGAAGGAAUACACAGU